GGCGGAAUAGCUCAGUUGGCUAGAGCAAUCGGUUCAUACCCGGUGUGUCGUAGGUUCGAGUCCUAUUUCCGCUACCA
rnacentral:tRNA from 5 species